UACGGAGGGUGCAAGCGUUAUCCGGAUUCACUGGGUUUAAAGGGUGCGUAGGUGGGCUAGUAAGUCCGUGGUGAAAUCUCUGAGCUUAACUCGGAAACUGCCGUGGAUACUAUUAGUCUUGAAUCUCGUGGAGGUAAGCGGAAUAUGUCAUGUAGCAGUGAAAUGCUUAGAUAUGACAUAGAACACCGAUAGCGAAGGCAGCUUGCUACACGAGUAUUGACACUGAGGCACGAAAGCGUGGGGAUCAAACAGG
rnacentral:rRNA from 1 species